AUUGAACGCUGGCGGCAUGCUUUACACAUGCAAGUCGAACGGUAACAGCACUUCGGUGGCUGACGAGUGGCGAACGGGUGAGUAAUACAUCGGAACGUGCCUAGUAGUGGGGGAUAACUACUCGAAAGAGUAGCUAAUACCGCAUGAGAUCUAAGGAUGAAAGCAGGGGACCUUCGGGCCUUGCGCUACUAGAGCGGCUGAUGGCAGAUUAGGUAGUUGGUGGGAUAAAAGCUUACCAAGCCGACGAUCUGUAGCUGGUCUGAGAGGACGACCAGCCACACUGGGACUGAGACACGGCCCAGACUCCUACGGGAGGCAGCAGUGGGGAAUUUUGGACAAUGGGCGCAAGCCUGAUCCAGCAAUGCCGCGUGCAGGAUGAAGGCCUUCGGGUCGUAAACUGCUUUUGUACGGAACGAAAAGCCCUCUUCUAAUACAGGAGGGUCAUGACGGUACCGGAAGAAUAAGCACCGGCUAACUACGUG
rnacentral:rRNA from 1 species